rnacentral:rRNA from 1 species
AGGCGCAGACGAGAAACCGCAAGGACGAAAGCGACGGAGCGACGCCGCGGAGAGAAGGCCGGACGAAUAACACGGGGACGAAGAGACGGACCCGAGAAAAGGGGCCCAACC